rnacentral:sRNA from 1 species
CAGAAAUGUCUGGAAAAAUGCUAGUGUUCCUUAAUACUUAAGAUAUUACUCACGCGCAGAUGCGGAAAACGCCAUGCGGUACAUAAAUGGAACGCGUCUGGAUGACCGAAUCAUCCGCACAGACUGGGACGCAGGCUUUAAGGAGGGCAGGCAGUACGGCCGUGGGCGAUCUGGGGGCCAGGUAUGCGAGAAGGGUCUCUGGGCUCAGCCACUGCCUGGGAUUCCAGUCACAAUGACAGGUGUUUUGGCAAUCUGUAUUUACUCUUUUGUAAAUAACUUUGUGUCUAUAACCUUGGCUUGAAGUGGAUCUGAAAACCACCCAACGGUUUGGGUGAAUUGUUUUUUUAAACCCUGAAAUGGUAUGUUCUGUACGUUUCUAACAAGCAACCAUUCUUGAACUUCUGCUAGGGCUAGAUAUCUUCCACCUGCAGGAACAUCUAGAAUGAAAGCAAAACGCACUGAAGUGAGUUGAAGUGCUUAUGUCCUGCUUGAAAUGUUCACAUUGUGGCAUCUGAACAGGUUUCACUGUUUGUCUAACAUGUUUGUGGGAGGCAUAUUUGUUACACCAUUCUUUUUCAUACUGUAACUCUGGAUUCUUUCCAUUAAAGGUUCGGGAUGAGUAUCGGCAGGACUACGAUGCUGGGAGAGGAGGCUAUGGAAAACUGGCACAGAACCAUAAAACAUAACUCAGAUUUCUACAGGAGACAGUGGUUUUAUUUGGAUUGUCUUCUGUAAUAGGUUUCAAUAAAGCUGGAUGAACUUAUCGUU